rnacentral:miRNA from 1 species
UGUGUGUGUGUGUGUGUGUGUGUGUGUGUGUACGUAUAUAUAUAUAUAUAUAUAUACACACAUACACACACACACGAU